GUUCGGUCCCUAUCUGCCGUGGGCGUUGGAUGAUUGAAGGGAGUUGCUCCUAGUACGAGAGGACCGGAGUGAACGAACCUCUGGUGUUCGGGUUGUCACGCCAGUGGCACUGCCCGGUAGCUAAGUUCGGAAUCGAUAACCGCUGAAAGCAUCUAAGCGGGAAGCGAGCCCUGAGAUGAGUCAUCCCUGACCCCUUGAGGGUCCUAAAGGGCCGUUGGAGACCACAACGUUGAUAGGUGGGGUGUGUAAGCGCGGCGACGUGUUGAGCUAACCCAUACUAAUUACCCGUGAGGCUUAACCAUACAACACCCAAGAAGUGUUC
rnacentral:rRNA from 1 species